AUUGAACGCUGGCGGCAUGCCUUACACAUGCAAGUCGAACGGUAACAGGUCUUCGGAUGCUGACGAGUGGCGAACGGGUGAGUAAUACAUCGGAACGUGCCCGAUCGUGGGGGAUAACGAAGCGAAAGCUUUGCUAAUACCGCAUAAGAUCUACGGAUGAAAGCAGGGGACCGCAAGGCCUUGCGCGAACGGAGCGGCCGAUGGCAGAUUAGGUAGUUGGUGGGAUAAAAGCUUACCAAGCCGACGAUCUGUAGCUGGUCUGAGAGGACGACCAGCCACACUGGGACUGAGACACGGCCCAGACUCCUACGGGAGGCAGCAGUGGGGAAUUUUGGACAAUGGGCGAAAGCCUGAUCCAGCCAUGCCGCGUGCAGGAUGAAGGCCUUCGGGUUGUAAACUGCUUUUGUACGGAACGAAGAGACUCUGGUUAAUACCUGGGGUCCAUGACGGUACCGUAAGAAUAAGCACCGGCUAACUACGUGCCAGCCGCCGCGGUAA
rnacentral:rRNA from 1 species